rnacentral:rRNA from 1 species
UGGGGAAUUUUGGACAAUGGGGGAAACCCUGAUCCAGCCAUCCCGCGUGUGCGAUGAAGGCCUUCGGGUUGUAAAGCACUUUUGGCAGGAAAGAAACGUCAUGGGUUAAUACCCCGUGAAACUGACGGUACCUGCAGAAUAAGCACCGGCUAACUACGUGCCAGCAGCCGCGGUAAUACGUAGGGUGCAAGCGUGAAUCGGAAUUACUGGGCGUAAAGCGUGCGCAGGCGGUUCGGGAAGAAAGAUGUGAAAUCCCAGAGCUCAACUUUGGAACUGCAUUUUUAACUACCGGGCUUGAGUGUGUCAGAGGGAGGUGGAAUUCCGCGUGUAGCAGUGAAAUGCGUAGAUAUGCGGAGGAACACCGAUGACGAAGGCAGCCUCCUGGGAUAACACUGACGCUCAUGCACGAAAGCGUGGGGAGCAAACAGG